UACGGAGGAUCCAAGCGUUAUCCGGAAUCAUUGGGUUUAAAGGGUCCGUAGGCGGUUUGGUAAGUCAGUGGUGAAAGCCCAUCGCUCAACGGUGGAACGGCCAUUGAUACUGCCAGACUUGAAUUAUUAGGAAGUAACUAGAAUAUGUAGUGUAGCGGUGAAAUGCUUAGAGAUUACAUGGAAUGCCAAUUGCGAAGGCAGGUUACUACUAAUGGAUUGACGCUGAUGGACGAAAGCGUGGGUAGCGAACAGG
rnacentral:rRNA from 1 species